rnacentral:rRNA from 1 species
UACAGAGGGGGCAAGCGUUGUUCGGAAUUACUGGGCGUAAAGGGCGCGUAGGCGGCCUGUUAAGUCAGACGUGAAAUCCCUCGGCUCAACCGGGGAACUGCGUCUGAUACUGGCGGGCUUGAAUUCGGGAGAGGGAUGUGGAAUUCCAGGUGUAGCGGUGAAAUGCGUAGAUAUCGAGAGGAACACCUGCGGCGAAGGCGGGUUGCUGGGCUGACACUGACGCUGAGGCGCGAAAGCCAGGGGAGCGAACGGG